UUGCUCCACUGACAGCAUCCUUCUAGGAGGAAUAAUAUCGACUGUCUGGAGCAGUUUGCCCUCUUUGGAAUUUCCUUCUGGCCAUUUGCAGAAGGAUGGACUCGCCCUUGCCACUUCACUCCCAUGGGAGUCACCUUCCCUGAGUUGUGCUGCAGAAAGAUCACCCCCAUUUACAUUCCCAGUGACUCAUAGGAGAACUUUUUCUGGAUUUCCCAAGGUUGAUGAAGAAAAAGCCAGGCAUGGCUGUGUGAGCCCUGAAGCAGCAUUGCUGCCAGCAGCACAUUGGUUGAGGAAUGUG